GACGAACGCUGGCGGCGUGCUUAACACAUGCAAGUCGAACGCUGAAGCUCAGCUUUUGUUGGGUGGAUGAGUGGCGAACGGGUGAGUAACACGUGAGUAACCUGCCCCCUUCUUUGGGAUAACGCCCGGAAACGGGUGCUAAUACUGGAUAUUCACUGGUCUUCGCAUGGGGGUUGGUGGAAAGGGUUUUUCUGGUGGGGGAUGGGCUCGCGGCCUAUCAGCUUGUUGGUGGGGUGAUGGCCUACCAAGGCUUUGACGGGUAGCCGGCCUGAGAGGGUGACCGGUCACAGUGGGACUGAGAUACGGCCCAGACUCCUACGGGAGGCAGCAGUGGGGAAUAUUGCACAAUGGGCGCAAGCCUGAUGCAGCGACGCCGCGUGAGGGAUGGAGGCCUUCGGGUUGUGAACCUCUUUCGCACAUGGUCAAGCCGCAACAAUGGUUGUGGUGAGGGUAGUGGGUAAAGAAGCGCCGGCUAACUACGUG
rnacentral:rRNA from 1 species